rnacentral:lncRNA from 1 species
AUGUUCAAGGCGCGUAAAGGAGCUUCUCCGAGCCUCUCCAUCUCUCCACCGCCAGCCUCUGGGCUCAGCCCUGCGGCGGAGCUCAAGGCGGUGUCCAGCCGGCGGGGUACCCCUGCCGGGGGGGGGAGGAACAAUUUCCUCGGGUUGUCUCAGGCCGGGAAAUCGGGUUUCAAUCCGAUUUUUCCCGCUUUCCCGGCGGCUGCGAGGUCCCGCAGCUCCCGAGUCGGCUUCUGGGGGCUGUUCCAACCCGGACCCAUAUCUACCUUGCUUUCGUCUGCGUGGAAAUGUCACGCUCACAGCGAGGGCCAGGCUUACAGGGGAAGCCCACAGCAGGUUUUCAGGGGAUGUGGAGCGGCAGAGGAAGGGCGUGAAAGUGUCACGGAGCCCGGCUCCCACGCGUGUGCCUGCGGUGGCAGCGUCGAACGAGCUGUUUGCAUGGAAAGAAAAUGGGAAAAAGAAAAAAUGAAAGAAAAAAAAGAAAAAAAAAAGAAAAAAGGAAAAAGGAAACCCAAGUAUCAAUAAACAGGAUCUGCCCGACGCGGUGCCGGGCGGGUGUGUGCGGGUUUCUGCUCCCCAUGGCUCCUUCUCGCCGGGAUUUUGGGAAGGGAGAACGGAAAGGGCCGGGAGGAAGCGGUGCUCAUCGUACCGACGGGCUGAGGUUGCCGCUUUUGCUUUCCAGGGAUGAGGGAGACCUUUCUUGGGGGCUCCCCAAAACCCGGCGGUGGAAGCGAGAUCUCGCCCUGACGAAAACCCCUCGCUAGGCGGGCGCGAAGAGGUGUGCAGUGACCUCCCGCUGAUUUGGCGUUGCUUUGGGGCUUUCUUGGUUUUGCUUUGUUUUGUUUGUUAGUUUGUUUUGCCAGAGCAAACGCAAAAGAGGGGGAAAAAAUGAAAAAAAAAAGCGCUUCCAAGAGACGGGAUGCAACAGAGGGCGAGGGGCAGCGAAAUGGCUCUGCCGUGCCACACUGCCAAACAGCUGCGUUUGCUGCGGAGAAAAGCAGCUCCCGCAAUUAGAGCCAAGCAGCACCUCAAUGAAUGGGGUCCGCAGAGGGCUUGUACCUCGUCCCGCCUCGCGACCCCGGAUCCCCGCGUGUCCCUGCUCGUCCCUGGCCGGGAGGGGGGUGCCGAGGCCGAGCCCCUUGGGCUGCCCACGGGAGGGGGUCGGGGGGAUGCUCUGCACGUACCGACCAUGGUCAUUUCCCUACCGGAGGCAGAGAGAGGGCAAAAGCAAGAAAAUUAAGGUUCUCGUGGGGCAGAGGGAAAGCUUGCCCGAGGAAAAAUAGCCGCUUUCUCUCCCUCGUGGAUGGCCCCCGUUUAAAAUAAAACAAAACGAAGCCCCCCA